UACGUAGGUGACAAGCGUUGUCCGGAUUUACUGGGCGUAAAGAGCGCGCAGGCGGUCGAUCAAGUCGAGUGUGAAAGCCCCCGGCUCAACUGGGGAGGGUCAUUCGAUACUGAUCGACUCGAAGGCAGGAGAGGGUAGUGGAAUUCCCGGUGUAGUGGUGAAAUGCGUAGAUAUCAGAAAGAACAUCAAUGGCGAAGGCAACCUUCUGGGCCAUUAUUGACGCUGAGGCGCGAAAGCGUGGGGAGCAAACAGG
rnacentral:rRNA from 1 species